AGUGAACGCUGGCGGUAGGCCUAACACAUGCAAGUCGAACGGCAGCACAGUAAGAGCUUGCUCUUACGGGUGGCGAGUGGCGGACGGGUGAGGAAUACAUCGGAAUCUACUUUUUCGUGGGGGAUAACGUAGGGAAACUUACGCUAAUACCGCAUACGACCUACGGGUGAAAGCAGGAGAUCUUCGGACCUUGCGCGUUUGAAUGAGACGAUGUCGGAUUAGCUAGUUGGCGGGGUAAAGGCACACCAAGGCGACGAUGCGUAGCCGGCCUGAGAGGAUGAUCAGCCACACUGGAACUGAGACACGGUCCAGACUCCUACGGGAGGCAGCAGUAGGGAAUAUUCCGCAAUGGGCGCAAGCCUGAUCCAGCCACGCCGCGUGGGUGAUGAAGGUCUUCGGGUCGUAAAGCUCUUUUGUUGGGAAAGAAAAACAGCAUGUUAAUCUCUCGCUGUUUUGACGGUACCCAAAGAAUAAGCACCGGCUAACUUCGUG
rnacentral:rRNA from 1 species